rnacentral:lncRNA from 1 species
CAAAGAUUCAUCUCCACCCUACUCACUCACCUUGCUCUCCUUCUACCAAACCCACAACCCUCGUUCUUGAAGGUCAUGAUGAAAUCAAGAUUCAACACUUCAAACUUUCGUCAAAUUUAUCUCCAGGUACAAAAUUACAUUCGAGUCUACUAGCUCUAUAACCUAUCCUUCAUCCCCAAUUUCCUUGCUAACACGUAUUUUAGUAAAUUCCUAUCUUCCCUCCCAUUCUUCCUCAUGCCCGGAGAGAAUCCUAGGGCGUGGACGGGUUAGACCAUUGAACUUGUACAAGAAAGGCAAAGGCACCUGGAAACUAUAAUCCAUGGCUGGGGUGACCAUCUCAAUAUUUAGAGCAUCUCCAAGAUACUCUAUUUUUAAAGCGUACAUUCUAUCAUUUUGAGAGCAUCUUUAAAUUUAGAGAGUUAAAAUUUUGAAAUAUUCCAACAAGUUCUUUAUAUUUAAUAUUUAAUUUUAGUACUCCAAAAAAAUAUUUAUUAUUUUUCUCUAGAUUAUUUUAUUAUUUCCUAUAUUGAAAACUGAAAUACUUUGAAUGCAUUUAAUUAUAGAAAGUGAAUUUGGCUUGACUCUUUAAAAUGGAGAGUAUAUUAUGUUUAAAGAGUCUCUUGGAGAUGCUCUUAGUCAAAUAAGCAUUUGAAGUGUUGGCCAGCUCAAUUUGUUAACUUAUUAAAGGAUAUACCUAAAUAAUAUGAGAUCUGAUUUUUGUUUAACAUCAAUGAAUAUGAUCAUAUCCAUUUGGGGUUGGGGAUGGAAAUAGGUCCAGACUGCUUGCUUGCUUGGCUUGUAUGCUUGUGAGAGCUUGGUCCAUGGGCGGCUUGGCUCAUUACAUCACGAGCCCAUGUUAUUUUUUUUAUUUAAUUAAUUAAAUUUCUUUGUCUUUUAUCCCGUAUUUAAUUUUUCUUUAAAUUCUAUUUAAUAAAACGAAAAGCUCCCAGGAUGGACCAACUUGGCUCAUCACAAGAAAGGCCCAUGGGCCAAGCCUUGCCCCUUGGUCAACGAGCAGAGCUUAGGUGGUCAACUCGACUUGGUCCGAUCCAUUGUAACCCUUAUAAUCCAUAAACAGAAAUUAGCUUAGAAAGCUAAAAAGACAUAAUGACUUUGUUCAUAAUUUUUAGUUGGGUUUUUGUUUUGGAUUCAAUAUGUAACACCUUGGAUUUAAUUUCUAUUUUGUAUGAGGUCAAAUUUUGUUAAUUUAAGGAAAUUUUUUUAACUACCAUACUUUAUGCUUACAUUUUUUAGAAUUAUCAAAGUUUGAGAAACUUUUCUUAAUUCAGGUCAUAAUUCAAGAUUUUUUUUUAUACAAAAAUAGAUAAUAAUUGAUUUACAUAGGAAUGUUACCUAAAUUAGUGGUUAUUAAAGGAUAAAUUGAUUUUUCACUCUCAUCAUAUUCAUUCUCUAAAAACUUGUUCACAGUUAUUAUCCAUUUUAACUUCUCUCAGAACAAGGAAAGUAUAUAUUGGGGCUCAUGAGUUCAUACUUUUUUUUACAUGUUUUCCGGUGAAAAUCACCCUUCUACAUGCCACAAGGUCACAACCACAAUUUUGCAUGUUACAACAAGGAGGCAUUUGCAAUUCAUAAAGGUAUGUUUGAAUCGUUUUAUAAUUUAUGACAACAUUUAUGUCACUCUAUAUAUGUGUUGUUCCUUGUGAACAGUAUAGGAUUCAUAUUAAAAGUUAAAUGCGAUAUUCGAUAUUUAAGAUCAUACAAGUCAAUGUGACCAAUGAUUUGCACAAUGAAAUUAUUGUAUUUCUUGUAUUGUUCACAAAUAUGUGUUAAUUGUGCUCAUACAUGGCACGCAAAAUUGUGAUAUUUGUAUUAUGUGAUUGUAUUUACGUGAAAUGUGAAAUCGUGACUUGAUAACGUGUGAGGUAAAAGAUGAAAUGCAACAAUUGUCUUUAUGUGUGACCUCUCAUAAUGACAGUGAAGAAGGAAUAGACUAUGGUUUUCUCUUUCCAAAUAAUAUUGAUAUGGUAAGAAUCUCAUUUUGUUUAAUUUGAAUUUUAAAAAUUAAAAAUCAAAUAUAUAUUACCACAAUUAAUGGGAUUAAAUAUAUUUAAAAUAUUUUUUAGAACAAAAAUACCUGACUUGUUAAUAAAAAGAGUUAAUACAUGAUUUUCUACCAUGGAAACUCGAACGCAUGGUGUCCUCUAAAGGGAAAUGCCAUAUUUUAAGAUUACAUUUUCAGAAAUAUCAAAGUUUGAGACUUUGGAUAACCAAGUUAUAAUUAAAAAUUUUUUGGUAUGGGAAUAAAUAAUAAUUGAUUUAUAUAAGAUAAAAAUAUUCCACAAUUAGUGGUUAUCGUAUGAAAAUUGAUUUUUAUCUCAUCAUAUUCCUCCCCUAAAAAUUUGCUUACAGUUACUAUCUUUCCCAUUUAAUGUCUCUGAGAAAAAGAAAAGAAUAAUGCUAUUUGCUGUCGCUUACUAACCAUCACAUGUAUGCUAUAUAAGGUGACUAUGGUAUUGAGCGAUUGAAAAUAACAUUACUCAAAAGAAAAUGAUAAAUUGUUGCUCCAUGAUUUCGUAAUUUCCUUGCAUAUUUUUCGGCCACAACAACCAUUCUACAUGUCAAUAGGCUACAACCAACAUUCUGUUGCCACCAUAGGUAGGCGUUUGGAAUUUUUAAAGAUAUGUUUGUGCUAUUUAAUAAUUUGUGAAUAUAGUUUUAUAACUAUAAAUGUGUUGUAUGGACGGUAUAAUAUUCAUGUUAAAAGUCAUACGUGACCAACGAUAUAUAAGCAUGUGCAUAAAGUUAAUAUGUGACCAGUGACUUAGUGAUUUUACACAAUGAAAUUAUUGUACUAUUUAUAUUUUUCACAAAACUUUGUCAAAUUGUAACUCAAGUGACCUGUGAAAUUGUGACCUUUGUAUUAAUGUGACGUGCAAAAUUGUGGCUUGAUAAUAUGUGUAAAGUGAAAAUGAAAUAUUUAUGACAUUUGUAUUUUAUGUGUGUUUUUGCGACCUCUCACAAUGCGGUAAAGAAGAAAAAGAAUUAGUGUUUCUAUCUCCAAAUUCAAAUAAUAAUUACCAGUCCAAAAAUUAAAAUCAUGUAUAUAUUACCACAGUUAACAAGACUGGGGACAAAAUAAAAACAUAUACUAUAAUUAUAUAAAAUAUUUUUUGAAAAAAAGACAUCUGAUUUUCUAAUUAAAAAAAUAAUACCUGAUUUUUAUAAUGAAACUUAAAAUCAUGGUUUCCUCUAAUUUUUUCAUUCUAUAAUUUUGAUGUUUUCCCAAAAUUUGCAGUUUCCCUGCAAUGGCUUAUACCUAUAGAUUCAAGUAUUUCUCAAUUCAAGAUAUACUCUUUUAUCCCCCGUUUGGCCCCUUUUAAAACUUUUCAAUUUAAUUUAAACUUUUUCUCUCAUACUUUGAAUCAAACAAUCUUCAAUAAAAUAAUAUUACAUUCAAAUCGAAAACUUUUCAACCACACAAUCUUCAAAAAAAUAUUAUUCCCCCCAUUAUAAAUUCAAAUAAUGGGGGCCAAACAAACUCUUAGUAAUUACGAUUAUUUCUAUUUAACUGAGAUUUUCCCUUCUUUUUGUGGAUUUUUGGCUGGGAUUGUUUAUUAAUUGAUGAAAAGUGAAGGAUUAAGCAUGAGACCAGUGGCUGACCCGUGGUAAUUCAAAUGAAAUCUAGUUUAAGAAUAAAUGUGAUGCAUGUGGAUUUCGAUGAUGAGGUCACUGCCUCACCGGUCUACACACAAGCAAGCUCGAAAAAUCAUAAAUUUAUAUUUUUGCUAAAAUUAUAUCCACAAUCAUAUUACGCAACAAAGAAUUUUAGGUUCGUGUUGUAAAGUUUGUUACAGGUGCUAAAAAUUUUUGUGCAAAUAGGCUGUUUGAUCGUUUAAUGGGGUGAUAAAAAAUUUCCCUGUUGACUCGGAUUUUCCAGCUAGACGAACAUUAGAAGUUAUUUGAAUUUUGAAUUGUUACUAUGGACGUUGGUACUCUAUUCGGAAGUGCUCAUUAGAAGUUAAUGUGACAUUUGUAUCCUUUAAUCUUAUUAUGCUCAUUAAUUCUAAGGCAAAUAUCUAGAGUAACUUGAAUGUUAGUUGAUUUUAAUUAUCCCGAAUGAUCCAUUAUUCAUGAAGUGAAUUGAUGUGACGCAGGAUGCAAUACGAGAAUUAUAGGAGAAGGGGGAAGGGGAGAGAAGAGAAGGGAGGGGAAAAGAGAGAAGAAAAGGGAGAGAGGAAGGUAGAAGUUGGGGGAGAAAUAAGUUUAUUUCAUAUAUCAAAACUUGUCUGAUUACAAAGCAUAAGACCCUUUUAUAUAAGAAUUCGUACCAAAUUGAUGCAGGAUGCAGUAUGAGAAUUAUAGGAGAAGGGAAAAGGGGGGAGGAAGAGAACGGAGGGGGCAAAGAGAGGAAGAUAGAAACUGGGGGAGAAAUCAGUUUAUUUCAUAAAUCAAAGCUUGUCUUAUUACAAAGCAUAAGACCCCUUUAUAUAGGGAUUCAAUGGGGAACAUAUAAUAAAAGCAACUAAAUUAAACCUAAUUAUGUUUCCUAAAAUACUAAUUAAAACUGGAAACUAAACACAAUAAUAUCCCUUAUUAUAUUGCAUCAUGAUGUUUCAUGUCAAGAUGAUUAGGACUGCCUAUAAGUUUCUAGCGGAAAAUAUGACUUGGUGAUCAUCAGCGACGUUCGGAUCCAUUUUCUAGUUAAAUAUGAGGCAGUAUUUCACAAUGAUGCUCUGCAUUCUGUCAUGUUUCUUAGAAGCAAGCCCAGAAGAACACCUGAGCAAAAAGUGCAGCAAGGCAAGCUUUGGCUGUUUUGUAAAGUGUUGAUAUCUCAAAGCAUUAAAAUUUGCACAAAGUUUGAGACCUUUUUCAUCUGAGCCAUUGCUUUCUUAGUUUGUUACUUGGAAUUGGACUAGUUGCUUAAAAUGUAUAUAAUCAUAAUAUAAAAUAAAUUUUUGCUAAUUUUGAAUGAAUCAGUGAUAAAAUCAACUUAUCUUUGCAGCAACUACUGAAAAUUGCUUCAGUUUCUCAAUAAUGCUGAAUUGUCAUUACAUAUUGAUUUUUGCCAUUUCAAAUAUCUAUUCUUCACUUAUGUUAAUUCUUGCAUCACUUUGCAUUUUGUGCUUAAUCCCAAGAGUUCUUUGCAUUUUGGUACAGUGCCUUGAUGACUGUAUUUCAGAUGUUUAAUAGACGUUGCACUUAGGAACUUCUGGUUUUACCUAUAAAAGGUUUUGUUCUUGCCAUGUACUUGUGAAUCCUGUUAUGUGCUAUACUUUGUAUACGUUUUUAUGUAUUUGUUUCUAUUUUCUGCUCUGGAUUCUUUGCCUAUUUAAUACUGCAGGUAGCUCAAGAAAUUGAAUCCGAAGCUAAAUACGAAAUGAUUUUCUCAACCAGCUGGUAUGCCAUUAACUGUACAGAACCUGAAUCUGAAUUGGGCCUCGACUGAUUACUGAUAUUACAUUCACUAAUUGCUGGAAAAGUAGAUGAGGAAUUAGCCGCAGUUGGCAACCUGUUUUCCUUCCGAAUUAUUGACUUAACAGACAGUGCACGUGAAUCACUCUUUUAGGCAGUAUGCUUCACAAGAGAAGAAUUUGGUGUUCGUUUAAUUCAAUUUGUGGGAAAAGGUCUUGCAAAUUACAGGUACCAUGGUGAUGUAGAGGGUUUAUGCCAUGCUUCUAUACAAUCCUUUCCUAUUAAAAAUGUUACUUCUUAUAGCACCAACAAAACCUUCAAAAAUGAAAAUUUAAAAUUUGACAUUGAAGUCAAUUGGAGGAUGGGAGUAAAGGAGUGAUGAGGAAAAUGGAAAAUCAUGUUAAAAUGAGUCUGAAGCCAUAGCUGAGAAUUGUAGUGGAUCUUGUUUUAUAUAUAUUUUGUGAACUCGUACAGUUUGAGGAAUGCAAGAAGGGAACAAAAGUUUCCAGCAUUUAUGGCGGCAUUAUUAGGGGAAGGAAGGGAAUACCCAGUUGGUCGUGCGACCCUUAUUUUGUUUGAUGCAUUAUUUUUUUAAGCUGAUUCUAUGCCCUUCUAUUCAUCCCCUUGAUCACGCUCUGAUCAUAUGGGAACUUAGGAAUUUUUAAGGCUGUUGAUUUUGGUUCGGUAAAAUUCUGUUGAAUACUCAAAAAUUGAAAUGUGCAGUUCGUAUUGCUGUCUUUUUCCAAAAUAAGAGGUUCAUGCCUCUUUUGGCCCUCACCAUCAAAAACCUUUACUUGUUUUAGAAAUUUGGUCCAAUAUUAAUCCUUGAACUGUUCGACUCAUUAUCUUGUUUGAAACGACCUAGCUCUCGUCUAUUGUUCUAUUUCUUUUACAGCAAAUGACAUUGAUCAAAGCUCAAGUAGGGGGGAAAAAUAACAUGAGGAUGCUGAACAAAAGCAUCGUCAAGGAAGGAUCAAGUCGUCAUUAAUGUGGUUCCUUUUGCACUUCUUUGUUUUUUGUUGUCGAAAUUUUCACAAAGAUGAACAAGAAUACUUCUCCAUUGCUUUCUCCCAGGGCUGGUACAUUAAGUUCACUUAAAAAAUAUCUGUCUACGUAUAUAUCAAAUGCAUUUUCUCUCAAAACCUUUCACAUGGCUUAUCCUUUUAAGUUGUUACAAGUCAGAAAAGCAUGCUUGUGGUUAUUCCAACCUUCUUGUAAAAUGUAAAUAGUUAUAUGGAAUGGCUUGUAAAUACUCCGCUGAAGCAAGAAUUAGAAGAUAUUAUUAUUUUUUCCGUAUGUGUUUAAAAAUUUCCUGUGUGAAGAUGGAAAAGUUGGAAAAGAUGGAAACUGAUAAUAUUAGUCUCUCUCUCUCUUUUUUUUUUUCCCCCAAGAAAUUGGAAUCCUGGGAAUUUUGCCCUAGGAUAUCAGAAGUUUAGUAGGUACCCUUUAUAACAAGAAUUGGAAUCUUUGAUGCUAUGUCCAUCGAACUUAAAAAUCCUACGUUAACUAAGAAGCUGCUACAUGGAAGUACUCCAGUAAAGUGUUUCUAGAGUUAUCAUUGUAAAGAUUGGGUUUUGCUGAAAUUUGAGCCCGAAAGAUGGUUGCUGGCCUACUGAUCCUUUUCAUUGUUCGGCCCAAUUGCUCAGUCCAUCUAAAUGAAGGUUUAGACUUGAAGAAUUUUGUUUCUUAACUAUGAUUACUGCAUUCGUAACUUAAAUUGAAUGGAUGGCUGACACAUGAAGUACUUGUGACCGUUGGAUGCAUAGAUGAAAUGAUACAUAUACUAUCUGUAGUCAUUUUGAAGGGGUGUGGAUGAAACCCUAGUUUCUUGACAUUUUUUUUUUUUUUUUUUAACGAGGUCUCCCAGCUUGCGCCAGACUAUAUAUCGUCGUCCCUGAACCUCCGGCCCCUCAGCUGCUCAGGGAGGUAAAUCGCAGAAUGUGCCCUUAGUUUCUUGACAUUCUUUGUUAUGCUUCGUGUGGUUUGUGAGAGAUUCACCAUGUGGGUGAUACUCUUGUAAAUUCUUGAGUAGAAUUUUGAUUGCUGUUAAUCAAUAACUGUUAUCCUCAUUUGUGAGUAGUUUUUAUACCAUUGUGGGAUAGCAGAGUGAGUUGGGAGGGAGAAAUCUUUUGAACAUUUGGUAUUCCUUUGUAAUCGAUAUUCUUGCUUGUUUUUGGGCUGUGUUAGUGGAUUAGAUAGCUAUCGCUAAACCUCCGGGGCCUGUGGCCGAAAAUUCUCGUGUGUUCUUUUGAUUUCUUACGUUUCUUUUAAACAAAGUUGGGUCACAAAUUUGGGACCUACAAUGGUAUGAGAGCUUGAAAACCCUUUGAUUCAUGUUCAAAUUUGGUUUUAAAACUCGAUUUGGUUCUGGUCGACUCUUCUGUUUUAAAGAAAACGUCAGAUUUGAGACAAUUUGUUAAUAUUCCUUAAAGAAAUUUCUUGAUAUGUACUUGAAGUUGCUUUGGGAGUAUUCUUGAGUAUUCUUUCAUGUUCACACUUCUGGUAACAAGUUUCAUAACCCUCUCUGAAAUUUCGAAAUGGGGAACCUAUGAGAAUAUUUUUUUAUUUUUUAACAAAGGAUUCCUGAAAACCUCCCUAAAUUUACCUUUGUCUAGGGAUCCCUGAGAGAACCCUAGAAUUUGAGGGAAUUAGGGUUUUGGUUUAAGGAAAUUCAAAAUUUUCAAUGACUUUUUGAAGUUGAUAUUUUGCUACUUUGUGUGUGUGUGCUAUAAUAUCUUAACUGGUUUUUAAAUUCACAUACCUGUUUUGAAGUGCUACAUGGGCCUUGUUUGAAUCCAUUAAUUUGGAAAAAUGUAUUAUGAAAUAGUGAAUGAUGGAGAAUGUGUGGUUAAAAAAGAAGGAUUUUUUUUUUACUUAUGUUUAAUAUUAUUUUAAUGAAGAAUGUGUGGUUAAAAAUGAGUAAUGUAGAAAAAAUUAUGGGAAAGAAUUUUAAGUAAAGGAUGACAAACGGGAGCAUAUUGUUAACUUUGUAUUGAUACUCUAAUUGUGUUUAUUUUGGGAUUACGCCUCUAUUCAUGUGAAUAACUUGAUAUCAUAUGUUUUGAACUUUUCUUCUUGUUUAUUGAGUGUAAGCAUACCUGUUCUUGAUAUUUUUAUUGUAUAGUCUUUCCUUAUAUUUGGAUUAUACUCUCUAUCUUGCAAUUGAAUUUUUUAAAACCAUUUGUUUAAUAUAUUCUUACUUACAAUUUUGCACAAUUAUCACAUUGUUGCAUUCUAAAGUAGAUGUUCAGAUUUGGGAUGGCAAAGGAGACUUUAGCCUCUGGUGAUGGAAAAUUAAAGCUCUUAUGCAACAGUUAAAAUGUGCUAAAGUCAUUGAUGCAAGUUGGCUAGAAAACCUACCUGUGGAUAGGAAAACUAAACAAGACGAAUUAGGGUAUAGUACUAUGUUUCUCGACCUAUUUGAUUAUGUAAUUAAGAAAGUAGGGGAAACCAAUACUACUGUGGAAUUGUAGACUGCUUUAGAGAAACGGUAACUCACUAAGACUCUACCAAAUAAGUGUUAUCUUUGGAGACAAUUUUUUAGUUUUAAGUUUGAUCCUAGCACUGACUCUGGAGAAAACAUGGACAGAUUUAAUAGGAUCACUUAGGAUCUGAUAAAUUGUGGUGAAAAGAUUUCUGGUGAACAAAAAGUGGUUGGUUUGCUUAAUGCACUAGGAGAGAAAUGUAAAGACAUAAGAAAUGCUUUAGAAUAUGUUAGAAGAGACUUGACUGUUGAUAUAAUUCAUAGCCCUCUUUUAAAUAGAGAAUUGGAAUUAAGAUCUGAACAUAAAGAGGUCUUUCAUGAUGAGAAUACCUCAUCUAAUACAAAAACUCAAGUCAAAGGUAUGAGUAACUUUAGUCGAGCUAAUUAUAAUAGAGAUAAUAAUCUCAUUCAAAGAGGCUAAGAACAAAAAGUGCUACUGCUACGGAAAAACAGGUCAUUUUAUAGAAUGUUUUAAGAAAGCUAAUGAUCAAGAGAAUGGAUCCAAUCUUGAGAAUGGUUCUUUAGCCAUUGCUGCCUUUUAUAAAGAAGCAGGAGCUAAUGCUGGGGUGGUUUAUGUAGCUUCAACUGAAAGGAUUGAUCAGAAUUGUGUUUUAGAUUCAGGUUGCUCCUUUCAUUUGAGCCCCAAUCUCAAUUGGUUCUCUAAUUUCUCAAGACUAGAUGGAGGUUUUGUGAAUCUUGGAAACAUGAGACAUGCCAAGUAAAGGGUAUUGGCAAUUUUGUCAUGGGGUUUGAAAAUGGUCAACACAUGAUGUUAAAACAUACUAGGUAUGUUCCAGCGUCAAGAAGAAAUCUUAUAUUGUUAGGGGUUCUAGAUGAUGAGAACUAUCAUAUUGAAAUCAAUAAUGGUUUUAGAUACAUAAUUAGAUACCAAAAGCUCAUUGUAGAUUCCCCGAACUCUAAUAGAAUCUAUGUUAUCAGUUCUGAACUUGUUUCACCCAAAUGUGUAAACUUUGUAACAUAAUAUGAUAAAUCGCAAUUAUGGCACAAGAGAUUAUGUCAUCUUAGUGAAAAAGGCUUGUUCUUCCAAAUGAAGGGCAGAUGAGACAAAUAAGACCUUCUUCUAGAUUUCAAUAUGCAGAUUAUGUAUGUCUAGUUUGAAUUUGAUCCUUUUGAUUUGGAACCACCUUCUUAUGAAGAAGCUGUAUCCUGUAAGGAAUCCUCUAAGUGGCUUAUAGCAAUGUAAGUGGAGAUGAAUUCCUUAUGUAAGAAUAGAACUUAAAAUUUGGUAGAAAAACCCAAAGGCUGCAAACUGAUUAACUGCAAAUGGGUUUAUAAAAUCAAAUAAUAAAAGAUAUAAGGCAAGACUUGUAGCAAAAGAUUUUACACAGACUAAAGGAAUAGACUAAAUCGAAAUUUUUUCACCUGUUGCGAAAUACACAUCUAUUAGAAUAUUACUUGCCAUUGUAACUCAAUUUGAUUUAAAGUUAGAACAAGUUGAUGUUAAUACUGCUUUUCUACAUGGUUCUCUAGAUGAAUCCAUAUAUAUGACUCAACCAAAAGAUUAUGAAGUGAAGAAAAAGGAGAACUUAGUGUGUCUCUUGAAUAAAUCCCUGUAUGGUCUAAAAUUGGCUACAAGGCAAUGAUAUACGAGAUUUCAUUCUUUUAUAUAGGGAUUGAAGUUCAAAAAAUUUGAAUAUGAUCCAUGUUUUUUAUUUAAAAAAUGAUGGAGAAAUUGGAUUUUUCUAUCGGCUCCCAUAUGUUGAGUACAUGCUACUAGUUGGUCACAAUUCUGUUACUCUCAACUUUAUAAAGGAAAAGUUGAAAUCUGAAUUUGAAAUGAAGGAUUUAGGACUUGCUAGGAACAUGGAAAUAAAAAGGGGCAAAAUUAAUGGAAAACUAUUUCUAACACAAAAAUCUUAUAUUGAAAGAGUGGUUAAACGAUUUUUUGUUUAUGAUGCUAAGCCUAUUAGUUUGCCUUUAUCUGCUUGUGUGAAUUUAUCUAUUGAUCAAUUACCUAAGUUGAAGAUGAAUUUAAAAGAAUGAUGAAUGUUCUAUAUGCUAAUGCUGUUGGAUCUAUCAUAUAUGUGAUGGUGUGCUCUAGAUCUGAUAUAGCUUAUGUUGUAAGUGUGAUGAGCAGAUUCAUGAGUAAUCCAAGUGAUCUUUAUUGGGAAGCUAUGAAAAAUUUAAUCAAAUACUUGAAAGGCACAAAUCAAUCAGGACUUAUGUUAAAAAUUGAUAAAGAUGGUCUUGAGUUGAAAGGGUAUGUUGACUCUGAAUUUUGUUAGAAACGUAGACAAUAGGGAGUCUAUAACUGCAUAUUUCUAUGUGAUAAAUAAUACAUGUAUUAGAUGAAAAUCUCAACUUCAGAAAUUAGUUGCCUUGUCUUCAAGUGAGUCUGAAUAUAUAGUUACAAAUGAAGCAGUAAAAAAUGUUCUAUGGCUAAAAGGCUUAUUAAAUGAUCUAGGUUAUGGAAAGUAAGGUAGAGUUAUGGUUAGAUAAUCAAAGUAUCAUUUUCUUAAGUGAAAAAUCAAAAUUUUCACGAUAAAUUUAAGCAUAUAGAUGUUAAAUUUCAUUUUAUUAGAGACAUACCACUUAGUAAAUUCAUUGAUUCUUUGGGAUUAUUGAAAUUUGAAGUUUGCUAUUUUUAUUUUUAUUUUUUCCUUUCUUUGUGAACAGGUAACGAGUGCAAAUGAAAUUAGUUAUUUAGUUUUUAAAUGCACUUCGCUAUUGUCUCAAAUUACGGCAAGGUGGCGAUUGUAAAGAUUGGAUUUGCUGACAUUUUAGCCCAGAAAAUGGUUGCUGGCCAAUGAUCCUUUAGUCCAUCUAAAUGAAUGGAUGGCUCACGCGUGGAGUACUUAUGACCAUUGGAUGCAUGGUUAGAUGGAAAACGAUACAUACACCAUCUGUAGCCAUUUGAAGGGUGUGGAUGAAACCCUUGUCUCUUGAUAUUCUUUGUCCUGCUUUGUGCUGUCCGUGAGAGAUUUAUCAUCUGUGUGAUAUUCUUGUAAAUUCUUAAGUAGAAUUUUUAAGGGUUGUUAAUCAAUAACAUUUAUCCUCAUUUGUGAGUAGUUUUUUAUUCAUUUCUAGAAUAGCAGAGAGUGAGUUGAGAGGGAGAAAUCUUUUAAACAUUUGGUGUUCUUCUGUGAUCGAUAUUCUUGCCUAUUUUUGGGCUAUGUUAGUGAAUUUGAGCGAAAUUUUAAUGCAUGCUCAACAAGAGAUUGAGCAUUCGAUAGCGGUCAUUGAACUUUUGAAGCCUUUGGUCGAAAAUA